rnacentral:rRNA from 1 species
GCGCCGAUGAUAGUGCGGGGCCUCCCCGUGCGAAAGUAGGUCACCGCCAGGC